rnacentral:lncRNA from 1 species
GGUAUUCUACCCUUACCACCAGGGAUUUGGGUUUUUUGUUUUUUCCUUUUGAAAACAGGAAAAUUUAUUUCCACAAAUGUGUAUCUUCUUCUCAGCUGAGAAGAAAUUAAUGUCUAUUUUUAAAAUUGUAGUUCUUAUGAACUAGGUAUUCAUUGUCUCCAACCAAUGGCUUGCCAAUACAUUGUGAACAUUCUUGAAUAAACGUGUUGAUAACUAUUAUGUACUCACUAGGAUGUAUGUUCAGGAAUUAUCAUAAUUGUUUGUCUUCCAAGAACUAAACCCUGGACAUGGACAAGGAUUUAAUCAAACAAUUGCACCAAAUAAUGCAGAAUUAGAACUUUUAUCAUGGAAAGUUACAUGAAAUGUAAUUAGAGAAUUCAGUCAAACCAGGAGGCAUCUGCUACGAGGCACUGCUUAUUGGGCUGUAAUUCCUGUGAGAAGGAGUUCCCUUGAUCAUGAUGAAGAAACAUUUGCUGAAGAGAAGAGCCCAAGAGCUGACACAGGCAUAGAUAGGAGCUAAAGUCCAAGACAUUUGUUGUUAGCAACAUUUUCCUUGAUCCUUAAGUUUAAUACUUAGACAAAUAUUCUUUAUUAUUAAUGAGAAAAACAUACAAUUAGUUAUAGGCUGGUUGUUAUGGAAGAACAUUUUAUUUCAGUCUAAAACUAAUACUGUACUUUCCCAUACAGUCUUGAUUUUAGUUUCAGAUCUUAUAAGACUUAACAGAAAUACAUUGGAAACUGUGAACAUAACAUACUUUUCUAGAGAUAACUAGGCAGAACUUAAAAAGGGAAUUAAAAUAAUAUGUCUCAUUUCAAAAGAGAAGGACCUGGUUGUGGUUGACCAAUCUAUAUUAUGAAGAAAAAGCCUCGUUCAGGUGCUAGGUUGAUAGAGGAUAGUGUUAAUAGAUGAAGGUAAGGGACAUAGUGUUGGGGUUUGGUGACAAAUACCUUUACUACUUGAGCUGUCUUCUCAGCUCAGACUAUGCUUUUCAAAGCAUAUUUUAACCUCUAAGAGUGACAAAAAUGUUUAGAGUAAUUUAUUUAUUAUGAAUACAGCAUUCUGAAUGACAGUAUAGGUAACAUUGAUACAUAUUUCUUUGCAGUACCAAAAGGAAUAGUGAGUUCAUAAACCACCACUACUUCAAAAGCUUAUAAUAUCUGAGACAAGAACUUACUGAGUUCAUUAACCCAGAAGGGCCAGCUGUAUCUCCUAAGUGGGACUGAAGAUUGGUCUGGGCAUUGUUCAGAAAUUGCUGUGUACCUCUGCUUUAGACCUCGUUUUUCUAGCAAAGCAUAUUUCUAAAGACACUAGUUCUGUGAUAAAUGCAUUGUAUUUCUGUCCCCGAGGGCUCUGUUAUCAAAUAAGGUUAUAAUUAAAGAAUGGUGGUAGGAUAUAUAGCAUAUAUUAGGAUCUAUGAGUACUAGUUUCAAAUCUCCAAUGAAAUUGCUAAUAACCUAAUUAGUUAUUUAUUGUGUCCCAUACACUAUACCAAGAAUUUUAUAGGUAAUAUAUUCAAUCUGUGAAUUUUAUUGUAUACUUUAAUAUAUAUGAAUGUGAUCGAAAAUCUGGUUUUGUUUUUAUCUUUUAUUGAAAGUAGAUUUAUUUUUUCUUCAUGUAGUAUAUUCUAAUUAUGCUUUCUGCUCUCUCUACUCUUUCAGUUUAUCCCUAAUUCCCCUCCCUGGAUCCCUUUCAGUCACUCAAUAGAAGACAAACAGGCUUCUAAAGGAUAGUAAUAAAAUAACAUUAUGAUAAAACAAAAACUGAUGCAUUAGAAUUGG